AUGAACGCUGGCGGCGUGCCUAAUACCUGCAAGUCGAGCGAACAGACGAGGAGCUUGCUCCUCUGACGUUAGCGGCGGACGGGUGAGUAACACGUGGAUAACCUACCUAUAAGACUGGGAUAACUUCGGGAAACCGGAGCUAAUACCGGAUAAUAUAUUGAACCGCAUGGUUCAAUAGUGAAAGACGGUUUUGCUGUCACUUAUAGAUGGAUCCGCGCCGCAUUAGCUAGUUGGUAAGGUAACGGCUUACCAAGGCGACGAUGCGUAGCCGACCUGAGAGGGUGAUCGGCCACACUGGAACUGAGACACGGUCCAGACUCCUACGGGAGGCAGCAGUAGGGAAUCUUCCGCAAUGGGCGAAAGCCUGACGGAGCAACGCCGCGUGAGUGAUGAAGGUCUUCGGAUCGUAAAACUCUGUUAUUAGGGAAGAACAAAUGUGUAAGUAACUAUGCACGUCUUGACGGUACCUAAUCAGAAAGCCACGGCUAACUACGU
rnacentral:rRNA from 1 species